rnacentral:rRNA from 1 species
GGGGGAAAAAUUAAAAAUUUUAAAUUAAUAAAAAAAAUUUUAAUACGAAAAUGGGGGUUGGAGUAUUAUUAAAAGAAAAAAUUUAAAUUUUUAUAGUAAAUUAGUAUUGUAAAAGAAUUUUGAAAUAAUUGAAAAAUAAUUUAAUAAGAAGUAAAUUUUAUUUAUUGUAUCUUGUGUAUCAGAGUUUAUUAAAUAAAUUUAUUUUUAUAAAUAAAUCUCGAAUUUGAAAGAGAUAAUUAAUUAUAAAAGUUAAUGUGGCAUAAUUAUUUUUAAUAGUUAAUUUGAAAUGAAAUGUUAAUCGUUUUUAAAUAUAUCUAGUUUUUUUAGAAAUAAAUUUAAUUUAAAAUUUAAUUUUAAUAAUAAUUUUUUAAAAAAUUAUUAUUAAAUUAAAUUAAAUAUUAAAAGGGAUAAGCUUUUUAAUAAAAAUUUAUAAUUUAAUAAAAAUUAUUAAAAUUUUUAAAAUUUAAAUUGUUUAAAAAUUAAAAUUUUUUAUAAAAAAUUUUAAUAAAAAUAAAAUUUAAUAAAAUUUUAAAUUUUUAUAAAAAAAAAUUUUUUUUUUAUAAAAAAAUUAUUAUAAUGAUAAAAUUAGUAUAAAUAUAAAUAUAAAUAUAUUAUUUAUAAAUAUAAAUUAAAUAAAAGGAAUUCGGCAAAAAUUUAUAUUCACUUGUUUAUCAAAAACAUGUCUUUUUGGAAAUAAUUUAAAGUCUAAUCUGCCCACUGAUAAAUAUUAAAGGGCUGCAGUAUAUUGACUGUACAAAGGUAGCAUAAUCAUUAGUCUUUUAAUUGAAGACUUGUAUGAAAGAUUUAAUGAAAUAUAAACUGUCUCUUAUUUAUAAUUAGAAUUUAAUUUUUUAGUUAAAAAGCUAAAAUAAAUUUAAAAGACGAGAAGACCCUAUAGAGUUUUAUAAUUAAUUUAUUUUAGAUUAUAUAUAUAAUUUAAAAUUAAAAAUAAAUUAAUUAUUUUAUUGGGGUGAUAGAAAAAUUAAAUAAACUUUUUUUAAAUAUAGUCAUAAAUAAAUGAUUAAAUGAUCCAUUAAUAAUGAUUAAAAGAAAAAAUUACCUUAGGGAUAACAGCGUAAUUUUUUUUUUUAGUUCAAAUAAAAAAAAGAGAUUGCGACCUCGAUGUUGGAUUAAGAUAAAAUAUAAAUGCAAAAGUUUAAAAUUUUGAUCUGUUCGAUCAUUAAAAUCUUACAUGAUCUGAGUUCAAACCGGUGUGAGCCAGGUUGGUUUCUAUCUUUAAAAAAUUAAAAUAUUUCAGUACGAAAGGAUCAAAUAUUUAAAAUAAUUUUAUUAAAAUGAAUAUUAUUAAUAUUUAUAUAUAUAUAUAUAUAUAUAA